AUCGAUCUUUCUUCACAAUAUCAAUCGUUGGAUCACACACCAACAUGUGCUCUCUCUAUAUAUGGAGGUCACAUUGAGAGAAAAAUAUUACACAAUUAGAUUAAAGGAAAUAGCUUAGAGGAGAGUAAUGAUUUUGCAAGAGUUGAAAAAUAUUAUGAAAAAAAGUAUUGAAUUUUCCUCUCAAAUUUCAAUUUUCCCCGGA
rnacentral:lncRNA from 1 species